CUCCUACCCUCUCCCCUCCCCAUGCUGCUAUCUAACUGCCACCUGCUCUUCCCCCACUACCAAUUCUGAGCGACUGCAGAGCCAGAAAGAAGCACCUCCUUGCAAACUCUUCUCCGGAUCUACAGCCCUUCCAGUCCCAAGGCUGCUUUCAACCUUUUCUUUAAAGUGAACCUCAAAACAUGGAGAGAUAGCCGGUGUCCUCCAGGAUACUGUUCCAGCCUCCAUGUGCCGUCUGCAGUUUGGAUUUGAGCAUGGUGACCUAAAUCCUAAUAAUGACAGUCAUGAUCCAAUGAUAAAAGCAGCUGAGUCUGUGGUCUCAUGGAAGCACCCCCUCUGCCAUACUGAAACGGAAAUGACUUUUCCAGAGCAUUUGAGAACUUCCAUGAAACCGCUUCAAGG
rnacentral:lncRNA from 1 species